rnacentral:tRNA from 2 species
GGGCGUAUAGCUCAGUGGUAGAGCACUGGCCUUACAAGCCAGGGGUCGCUGGUUCGAACCCAGCUGCGCCCA